rnacentral:rRNA from 1 species
UACGGGGGGGGCAAGCGUUGUUCGGAAUUACUGGGCGUAAAGGGCUCGUAGGCGGCCAACUAAGUCAGGCGUGAAAUCCCUCGGCUUAACCGGGGAACUGCAUCUGAUACUGGAUGGCUUGAGUUCGGGAGAGGGAUGCGGAAUUCCAGGUGUAGCGGUGAAAUGCGUAGAGAUCUGGAGGAACACCGGUGGCGAAGGCGGCAUCCUGGACCGACACUGACGCUGAGGAGCGAAAGCCAGGGGAGCAAACGGG